GAUGAAGAACGUAGCGAAAUGCGAUACGUAAUGUGAAUUGCAGAAUUCAGUGAAUCAUCGAAUCUUUGAAUGCACAUUGCGCCCGCCAGUAUUCUGGCGGGCAUGCCUGUCCGAGCGUCAUUUCAACCCUCGAACCCCUCCGGGGGGUCGGCGUUGGGGAUCGGCCCUUUCACCGGGUGCCGGCCCCUAAAUACAGUGGCGGUCUCGCCGCAGCCUCUCAUGCGCAGUAGUUUGCACACUCGCACCGGGAGCGCGGCGCGUCCUCGUCCGUAAAACACCCCAAACUUCUGAAAUGUUGACCUCGGAUCAGGUAGGAAUACCCGCUGAACUUAAGCAUAUCAAUAAGCGGAGGA
rnacentral:misc_RNA from 1 species